rnacentral:lncRNA from 11 species
CUUGCUUUCCAGCCUGCGCCACAGCCCGGGCCUAGAAGCAUUCUCUCCUGACGUUUCACUCACAUCUAUAGUAGGCAUCCUCAGAGGUUAUGAGGUCUGUUGGAAACUUGGCAAGUGAUUUUUAUAUAUCUGGAAAGUCCAGGGUGGGAGAAAGAGCUGUCUGUUUGAGGAAAGUGUGACUGUUGCAAUUGACCACGGUGAUUAGCAUUGAAUGGCCUUGCAUCUUCAAAACUUGGCUGCUUCCUGCCAGGUGAGGGGAGCCUUUGUUGGGAGGUGUUAGCUGGCCCUGAUUAUUUCUUGUCUGGAAUUCCCUUUUUUAGUGUUGCUCCUUAUUUACUGUCCUGAUUUUAGAGUUUUUAAAUACUGGUAACCAGAUUUUGUUUAUUUUCAUGGUUUCCUCCUUUCUGUUGAAAUUGUCCACAUGGUUGUGGAUUUCAGUGACUUCUCUGUGUAGUCUGACAUUGUGGUUGUUAGAGUGGUCCAACAUUUCUGUUAGGAAAGGUGGGUGUUGAAGUCCAAAACACCUGGAGGGCCCAAGUUGGCCCAUCCCUGAUCUACAAUGAAUUAGAGCAGUUGUUUGAUACCCCUUUACUAGCCAUGCCUUAUUGCUCGGAGUUGUCCUUUGGUGAGGCACCAGCCCUCUUUGGCAGCGAAGGCGACAGACCUUUCCAUCUUGCCUGGGGUUGCCUGGCCUCGUUCCCGCCGGCCCUGGGAGGAGGCUGGGUCUGGGCAUCCCUGCGGAGGGGCAGCCUUGGUCCGAGGAUCUCCCUCCUUCCCUGCCAAGGCGGCGAGGGGAGAGCCAUUGCGACCCACCUCCCGGCCUGGCUCCCUCCCCAUCCCUCCCUCCCUGCCUGCCUCCUUCCCCGCCCCGCGCAGCUGGAGGGCCAUGCGAGGGAAAGAGGCCACGCUUCCCAAACUUCCUGCCCCACUUUCUCAGCAGCCGGCUGCCAGGAGCUGAGGCAAGGGGACGCCGCGGACGGAGAAGGAGAAGAGGGAGCGCUCCCUGAAGUCGAGAGCGGCGACUCAGUCCUCCUCCUCUUCCUCGGGCCAUGGGCGAGCCUCGGGAGAAGCCCCCCGCGGGCGGCGGCGGCAGCGGAGGAGGGCUGGGCCGGGUGGCCGUGGGUCUCUCGCUGCUCUUCUCGCUGCUCUCGGUGGGCGCCUGCCUCCUCCUCAGCGCCAAGACCUCCCGGCUGCAGGGCCGGCUGCUGGCCCUCGAGGAGGAGCUGGUGGCCGGACGGAGCCCCGCCGCAGAGAGCCCGCUCGCAGGGCAGCCUUGGCUCGCCGCCCUCCAGCCUCAGGUGGACGAGCUUCUGCGGGAGAAACUGAAUGAAGGAUUAGCCAAACUACGCACAGCAAGAGAAACACCAUCUGAAUGCAGAUGUCCACCAGGUAUGUGGAAAAUUAACCAUAUUUUUUGAAGUCUGUAAAUAUCAUCAACAAAAUAUACACAAUGAUUUCCA